CUCACUUCUCAUCGCAACCUCUCUCGUUAUUCUUCCAAAUUCUCCACCUUCAGUAUCCAAGAGUAAUCAAUCUCCACCUUCAUCGAUUCAUCUUCAUCUUCAUCUUGCUCACACAUCUUCAUCAUUCUUCACCUUCAUAGAACAUCGAUUCAUCGCCAUCUUCACCUUGCUGCUCGCAUAAAUCGCUUCAACACAAAAGAUUCAAUUUCAUUCCGAUUUCAAUUUCAAAUUUCGAUCUCAAUUUGUUUCCGAUUUCAAAUUUCCAAUUUCAUUCCGCAUAAAUCGCUUUGCCAUCUUCACCUCAAAUUUCGAUUUCAAGAUUAAGCAAAGCUCGUGUCUUAGUCAAUGGAAUGAAAGGAAACAAUAGCUGAAGUAAAGCUAGCUAUCACUUGUCUAUAUGAGUUGAAAGAAAGACUAUACAAGUUUAAAUUGGAAGAAGAAAGAUUUUAAGCUCUUUUUCUAGCUUUCAAAUUAUUUGAUUUUGUUUUGUUUAAUUCAGGAAAAUGUCAAAACCAAGCACCCUCAAUUGUUGACGAACAAAGGUUUCACAACUCAAAGGCAAAUAUGCAUUGAUACUACUAUGAAGAAUUUGAAGUUUUCUCACUGGCAAAGGAUAAAUACAAGACUAUGGGAUUUGGACUAUUUGGAAAGAUAGAAAUGGUACAGUUUUUGCUAAUGGAGCGAAGGACCUUUAGCAGACGGGUGCUUUUUAAUGUUGCUGCUGUGUUUCUUUUGCUGGUGCGGCUGGUGCUUGCAGUGUGGAUGUUGGCUAAAUUUCACGGUGUUUGGAAGUUGUUCAUUAGCUUUGCUUUUGUUGAGAACUGCAUGUAUCUGUUGGCCUUCUUGUGCGCUUCAGGGCUUACAAGGUUAUAUUUUGGUUCUGUGCUUAGUGAUAUGUUGACUACGUGUCUCGUCAGUUUGUGUGAGAUGCUUUUUGUUUUGGUUGAAGCCAUUUUAGAGUUUCUUUCUUAGUAUUUUGGUUUGUGCUAAUUUUUGUAACAGGGAGGGGUUUUAGUGGCUUUGUAGUUUAAUGGUUUUGAGCUUCUUGCAAAUUGCAAAUGGCUUUGUAGUUUAGUGGUUUUGGCUUUGUAAAGUUGUUUAGAGCCAUAAUGUAGUAUCAAGUGAUUUGAACUAAGUUGAAGUAAUUUUUAUGUAAUAGAAUUUACUAUGCAAUUGAUGGCUUUAAGAGCACUCAAAAAUAACAUUUUUUUUCAUCGA